UGAGAAUAAAUUCCCAAACCCUAAAUUACCUCCCAGAUUAGGCGAUUCCAUACCAUUUCCUCCCUCAUCCGAAGAAGCGGCGCCGCCUCCUCCUUUGGCGACUGUUGCGACGCCGGUCGUUGCAGCUUCCGUCCCCGGGUCGCCGCCUCGGUUGUUAGCGGCUCCCAAGUUGCUCCCGAUGGCGGCGACCGGUUCUCCUCCGCCUACCGCCGCAGCUGCUCGGCCAUUGCCUUUAAACGAUGUCUCGCGGGUGUGUUUUUUCUUCCCACAAUGGGAACAGAUGAGCUUCGAUUUAUCCUCUUCGGUCCGUCUGUUCCACCCACCACCAUUUCCACCGCCGUUCCGUUGAGGAUGACUCCGAUGCACCGCCUGGUUUUGCCAUUGGUGAGUCACGGCCAGACCUGCCCCGACUCCCUGUGCGCCGGAGUCCUCUGUUUGGAGGACGCUUGAUCUAACGUCUUCUCGCCGGAGGAUGGCAUAUGCCGCUUCAGCCGAGGGAAGUGGUUCUGUCCUUAGAAUCUCUUUCUUGAUGCUUUCAUACUUGCUAUUUAGAGAUACCAGUAAUUGAAACACCCUCUGUUCUUGCUUCUCAGUGUUGUAUAUAUCGAUAUCUUCUGCGUACUUCAUUGGGUUUAGGUGUCUCCGAUCUAUGGAGAUCCACAAAUCGUUCAAUUUGGUCCAUAUUUCCUCCAGUGGCUCCUCCUUCUGUUUUAAUGUGAUUGCCUUUGCAUACAGAUCGUAUACUUGAAUUUUGUCACUCCCACUGGCAUAUGUGACUUCAAGGCUAACCCAUAUGUCUCUGGCCGUCGGAUAUUGGGUCAAUCGGCUCACCAGCCUCUGUUCCACAUUUUGGGUCAGCCAUGUGAAUACACAAUGGUCAGCCUGCUGCCACUUUCCGAAAGUUUGGUCGGUCUCUGCCGGGGGGGAUGGGACUCCAGUGAUGUGAGAAAUCAUUCCCCUCCCGCUGAUUGCCGCUUUCAUGAGGAUAGACCACUGUGGGUAAUUGUCACCAUUUAGUUUCUCUGCAAUAACUAAUGGUGAAGGAUCGAUUUUGUAGGUUUCUGGUGUUGGAGUUUUGAAUCUGCCGGGUUUUGGCUGAAAAGGUUUGAGAUUGGUCCGAGACAGUGAUGAGACUACUCUGAGUCUCACCCCUGCUCUGAUACCAUCUUGAAUGGUGUAUCAGGCAUGAUUUAAGAGUAGAGGGAUUAAUGAGAGAAGUAAUGAGAUUGAUAACUCGUAGAUGAUUUAUUACUGCAGAGACUAACCCUUUAUAUAGGGUUGAUACAUGUGUAAUUAUGGUAUAAUAUCAAUCAAAUAUCAAUCAUCCUAUUCUAU